CUUGAAGCUUUCUUUCCUUUCCUCCUUUCCGAACAGCAAACUGAUAAAGGGACCCUGAGGGAAAACCCACAGGAGGAAAGGGAUCAGCUGGACCAGAAUUUAGGCAACAAGUGGAAAGCAUCUGUCAGAGCAUCGCAUGCAGGAGAGCCUACGGUUUCGUCUCACGAAAGCCGGGGGAGAUCUGGGACUUUGCCCAGUGAUUACAGAUACUCUCAGGAAAACGUGAAUGAGAAGAGCAAGGAUUGCAGUUUGCCUCUUCUCGCGUGCUCUGAGCCA